rnacentral:rRNA from 1 species
AUGAAGUAUAUCCGAGAGAUUGCGGAGUGCAAACCGAAGAAAAAUCUACGGGAAGUACCUCCAAAUAUUGUACGCUUGCAUCAAAGAUGGAUUCCGCCACCGCCAGGAAUAGUGAAGAUCGGAGUGGAUGGGGCUGUUUCACGAGAUGGUAUGCAUGGACCUUUUAGUGUUGUUUGCAGGAACUCAACAGGAAACUACAUGGGUGCUUCUGUCAUUAAGAUCCAUGGAAUAGCGGACCCGGCGACGCUGGAAGCUUUAGCCUGCGGCUAGGCAUUGGCACUUGCAUCAGACUUGGGCCUGACAUACAACACCAUUGCAUCUGAUUACCAAGGAGUGGUCAACAAUAUUAACCUCCACAUGGGGGGAGCUUAUGCUAGCACCGUAAAGGAGAUUACGGAGACGGCGAAGUUUUUUGCCCACUGUACCUUCAUCCUUGAGGGGAGGGCUACAAAUAUUGAGGCACACAGCCUCGCUAAACAUGCUUUCGGUUUGGACUAUGGGCGCCAUGUGUGGCUGCUAAACCCUCCAGGCCUUCUUUGUAUCCCUUUAAACAUUAUUGAGCAAUAA